CCUACGGGUGGCUGCAGUGGGGAAUAUUGCACAAUGGGCGCAAGCCUGAUGCAGCCAUGCCGCAUGUGUGAAGAAGGCCUUCGGGUUGUAAAGCACUUUCAGCGGGGAGGAAGGCGGUGAGGUUAAUAACCUCAUCGAUUGACGUUACCCGCAGAAGAAGCACCGGCUAACUCCGUGCCAGCAGCCGCGGUAAUACGGAGGGUGCAAGCGUUAAUCGGAAUUACUGGGCGUAAAGCGCACGCAGGCGGUCUGUCAAGUCGGAUGUGAAAUCCCCGGGCUCAACCUGGGAACUGCAUUCGAAACUGGCAGGCUAGAGUCUUGGAGAGGGGGGUAGAAUUCCAGGUGUAGCGGUGAAAUGCGUAGAGAUCUGGAGGAAUACCGGUGGCGAAGGCGGCCCCCUGGACAAAGACUGACGCUCAGGUGCGAAAGCGUGGGGAGCAAACAGGAUUAGAUACCCCGGUAGUC
rnacentral:rRNA from 1 species